CGCGUAGGCGGGUCCGCAAGUCGAUCGUGAAAUCCUUCGGCUCAACUGAAGGGGGUCGGUCGAUACUGCGGGUCUUGAGGGAUGCAGAGGAGACUGGAAUUCCCGGUGUAGCGGUGAAAUGUGUAGAGAUCGGGAGGAACACCGGUGGCGAAGGCGGGUCUCUGGGCAUCUCCUGACGCUGAGGCGCGAAAGCGUGGGGAGCAAACG
rnacentral:rRNA from 1 species